GUGAUUUGAGAGAUCGAUUGAGGCCGCGAGAGCAGAGGGAGUUUUCGUUGAGGGCGAGUGAGAUAGAGAGAGGAUGACGAUUGGGAUUCUGGACUUUCCUUCGUUGUCCUCACCUUUUCUUUUCCUUUUUAUUUAUUCAUUAUUGCUUCUCUUUUUUAGCAGAACCUUUAAGUCCCAAUGUUUGAACGUUUAGAGUUCUCAAUAGUCAUUAACUAUGGUUUACUGGU
rnacentral:lncRNA from 1 species